GAUGAAGAACGUAGCGAAAUGCCAUAAGUAAUGUGAAUUGCAGAAUUCAGUGAAUCAUCGAGUCUUUGAACGCACAUUGCGCCCCCUGGUAUUCCGGGGGGCAUGCCUGUCCGAGCGUCAUUGCUGCCCUCAAGCACGGCUUGUGUGUUGGGCCCCCGCCCCCCGGCUUCGGGGGGCGGGCCCGAAAGGCAGCGGCGGCACCGCGUCCGGUCCUCGAGCGUAUGGGGCUUCGUCACCCGCUCUGUAGGCCCGGCCGGCGCCCGCCGGCGACCCCAAUCAAUCUUUCCAGGUUGACCUCGGAUCAGGUAGGGAUACCCGCUGAACUUAAGCAUAUCAAUAAGCGGAGGA
rnacentral:misc_RNA from 1 species